rnacentral:rRNA from 1 species
ACGGGUGAGUAACGCGUGGGAACGUGCCUUCUGGUUCGGAAUAACUCAGGGAAACUUGAGCUAAUACCGGAUACGCCCUUUUGGGGAAAGGUUUACUGCCGGAAGAUCGGCCCGCGUCUGAUUAGCUAGUUGGUGGGGCAACGGCCUACCAAGGCGACGAUCAGUAGCUGGUCUGAGAGGAUGAUCAGCCACACUGGGACUGAGACACGGCCCAGACUCCUACGGGAGGCAGCAGUGGGGAAUAUUGGACAAUGGGCGCAAGCCUGAUCCAGCCAUGCCGCGUGAGUGAUGAAGGCCUUAGGGUUGUAAAGCUCUUUUAUCCGGGACGAUAAUGACGGUACCGGAGGAAUAAGCCCCGGCUAACUUCGUGCCAGCAGCCGCGGUAAUACGAAGGGGGCUAGCGUUGCUCGGAAUCACUGGGCGUAAAGGGCGCGUAGGCGGUCUUUUAAGUCGGGGGUGAAAGCCUGUGGCUCAACCACAGAAUUGCCUUCGAUACUGGGAGACUUGAGUUCGGAAGAGGUUGGUGGAACUGCGAGUGUAGAGGUGAAAUUCGUAGA